GCUCACUUGGGGUCGGCAUGGGGUGUGAAAACACUCCCACCUCCCCAGGGCUGGGAGGCAGCCUGCGUGGUUGUCUCUUGGUCUUUUAACAAACCCCCGGCGCUGCAUGCGCCAAGGAAAUCAAAUCUAUUCAGAGCGCCCCUCCAGGCCCGGAAACGGUGCUGUGUGGGCGGCGUUGCGAUGCAUUAUUCUAUACGACUCUCGGCAACGGAUAUCUCGGCUCUUGCAUCGAUGAAGAACGUAGCGAAAUGCGAUACUUGGUGUGAAUUGCAGAAUCCCGUGAACCAUCGAGUCUUUGAACGCAAGUUGCGCCCGAAGCCAUUAGGUUGAGGGCACGCCUGCCUGGGUGUCACACAUCGUUGCUCCAAUCCCAUUGCGGAGCGAACGCUGGCUUCCCAUGAGCGUCGUCUCAUGGUUGGUUGAAAAUCAAGUCUGUGGUGGAGUGCACUGCGAUUGUUGGUGGUUUGAGUAAAGCUCGAGGCCCUAUCGUGCGUGGCUCUAGCCAUGUUCCAGACUUUGUGAUCCUUAUGCAUCUUUGGUGCUCAUAACGAGACCUCAGGUCAGACGGGGCUACCCGCUGAGUUUAAGCAU
rnacentral:rRNA from 1 species